UUUUAACACCCGCGUGAAGUAACGUAGUAGCUUUACAUAGACGCGACAGAUGAUCAACCGACCUCAAUACACAGUGGGGAAGAUGCUUGGACAGACUCGUCACUGAACAAAAGGCCCCCAAGGCAAAGUUGCUGCAAGGUUGACUUAAGUUUCUUAUCCAUCUUAACUUUUUGUGCUAUUGGAAUUGUAUGUUUCUUUGAGGUAAUCUUUGUAGGUGUUGUCGGUGCUCUUUAUGUACGUGUAGGAUCUACUGGCUGAGUUAUAUUCCUGUAAUCCUGUGAUGUUGUGAUGUUGCGAGAUCCCUGUAAAAUUUUUGUAUUUUGUCAUUGCUUAUCUGCUCAAGUAAUUUUUCUUGGCAAUUAGAUCUCUUGUCAUUUCUCUUCA